CCGUGACGGGAGACUCAAGGAGCAGAUUGUAAAGGGAGCAGGGGUCCCGGUGCGGAGCCUGGAGUCCUUUGGCCACCGGUUGCCCUUGGCCACCCCGCACAAGGCACUGACCCCUCCACUGGGAUGGGAGUGGUUCACUGCGCUGUGUUGUUACUGAACUGGAUCCUCAGCUCAGCCCACGGUGAAUUUCUCGUUAUUGUACCGGGCGAUGGUUUUGUAGCCACUGUAGGUGGAGAUGUGGUGUUGGAAUGUCAGCUUGUACCAGAUAUAUUGACCAGCGACAUGGUCGUGCAGUGGAGGAAGACAGGUCUCAUCUCGCCAGUCCUUGUGUACAGACAUGGACACGAUGACACCCUCGCUCAACACCAGGAUUACAGAGCAAGGGCCGAACUGUUUAAAGAUGAAGUGACCAAAGGGAACAUUUCCCUCAGAAUAAAGAACGUAAGAAGGUUUGAUGAAGGGGAAUAUACAUGUUCAGUUACAGAGGGAACAGAGUAUGAAAGUU